CCUACGGGGUGCAGCAGUGGGGAAUAUUGCACAAUGGGGGAAACCCUGAUGCAGCGACGCCGCGUGAGUGAAGAAGUAUUUCGGUACGUAAAGCUCUAUCAGCAGGGAAGAAAAUGACGGUACCUGACUAAGAAGCCCCGGCUAACUACGUGCCAGCAGCCGCGGUAAUACGUAGGGGGCAAGCGUUAUCCGGAUUUACUGGGUGUAAAGGGAGCGUAGACGGCGGCGCAAGUCUGGAGUGAAAUCCCAUGGCUUAACCAUGGAACUGCUUUGGAAACUGUGCAGCUAGAGUGCAGGAGAGGUAAGCGGAAUUCCUAGUGUAGCGGUGAAAUGCGUAGAUAUUAGGAGGAACACCAGUGGCGAAGGCGGCUUACUGGACUGUAACUGACGUUGAGGCUCGAAAGCGUGGGGAGCAAACAGGAUUAGAUACCCGGGUAGUC
rnacentral:rRNA from 1 species